rnacentral:tRNA from 1 species
UCCCGUGUGGCUCAGUUGGUAGAGCAUGGUGUUUGCAACGCCAGGGUUGUGGGUUCAAUUCCCACGUGGGAC